rnacentral:rRNA from 1 species
CCUACGGGAGGCAGCAGUGAGGAAUAUUGGUCAAUGGGCGCGAGGCUGAACCAGCCAAGUAGCGUGAAGGAUGACUGCCCUACGGGUUGUAAACUUCUUUUAUAAAGGAAUAAAGUGAGGCACGUGUGCCUUUUUGUAUGUACUUUAUGAAUAAGGAUCGGCUAACUCCGUGCCAGCAGCGGCGGUAAUACGGGGGUUCCGAGCGUUAUCCGGAUUUAUUGGGUUUAAGGGGAGCGUAGAUGGGUUGUUAAGUCAGUUGUGAAAGUUUGCGGCUCAACCGUAAAAUUGCAAUUGAUACUGGCAGUCUUGAGUACAGUUGCGGUUGGCGGAAUUCGUGGUGUAGCGGUGAAAUGCUUAGAUAUCACGAAGAACUCCGAUUGCGAAGGCAGCUUACUAAACUGCCACUGACAUUGAUGCUCGAAAGUGUGGGUAUCAAACAGGAUUAGAUACCCGUGUAGUC